rnacentral:lncRNA from 1 species
GACCUACUCAGCGGCCCUCAAUUCCUCUCCCCAUCACCUACCUCAGCUGACAUUUGUUGAGUGUUGAUUGCUUAACACAGAAUAACCUAAUUUAAUCCUUGCAACCUCCCAUUUGAGACGUUGAGAACCAGAACCUAAAGGAGACAGAGCCCAGGGGACGACACAGGGCCAGGGGUUUGGAGCACAGGGCUACGGCUUAGGGCUGGAACAGUGGGUGUGGCGGAAGGCAGAGUGGUCCGCUCGGAAGCGGUGGAAGGGGCAGAGUGCCCGGUCUCCGACCCCGCCGCGCUGCGGGGGCCCAGGUCAGCCGCAUCUCUCUCUUCUGGGCAGAGCUUGACACCUCCCCUUGGGCUCCCAGAGGACUCUGUCCCUGUUCCAAUGUUGAGCUCAUCACAGUGGAUGGACACUGUCAGUGUGAGGCCAGCGUAAGGUGCUGCUGUAAGGCCGAAGCCUUCUCUCAACAGGAGCCCCGCUCCCCUCCCUCUCUGGGGCCCUCAGCAUUGAAUCCUGGGUCAGGUAGGUGUUUGGUAUGUUCAAUUGUCCCCACUCCACUGCACUUCAAUACACACUUCUUUGGGAGAAGGACUAGGAGAACUAGCAGGACUACCAACACUUCUGACAUUCAUCGAGCACACACUAUGUGCUAGGCCA